GACGAACGCUGGCGGCGUGCCUAAUACAUGCAAGUCGAACGCAGUGGGGACGGGUGAGUAACACGUGGGUAACCUCCCAUCAGAGGGGAUAACACGUGGAAAAAGGUGCUAAACCGAUACUGAUGGAUGGAGCCGCGGUGCAUUAGCUAGUGGGUGGGGUAACGGCUCACCAAGGCCACGAUGCCUAGCCGGCCUGAGAGGAGGAUCGGCCACACUGGGACUGAGACACGGUCCAGACUCCUACGGGAGGCAGCAGUGGGGAAUAUUGGGCAAUGGACGAAAGUCUGACCGAGCAACGCCGCGUGAGUGAAGAAGGUUUUCGGAUCGUAAAACUCUUUUGGUAGAGAAGCGGUAUCUAACCAGAAAGCAACGGCUAACUCCGUGCCAGCAGCCGCGGUAAUAC
rnacentral:rRNA from 1 species